rnacentral:rRNA from 1 species
CACGUAGGGUGCGAGCGUUGUCCGGAAUUAUUGGGCGUAAAGAGCUCGUAGGCGGUGUGUCGCGUCGGCCGUGAAAACCUGCAGCUUAACUGUGGGCUUGCGGUCGAUACGGGCAUCACUGGAGUUCGGCAGGGGAGACUGGAAUUCCUGGUGUAGCGGUGAAAUGCGCAGUUAUCAGGAGGAACACCGGUGGCGAAGGCGGGUCUCUGGGCCGAUACUGACGCUGAGGAGCGAAAGCGUGGGGAGCGAACAGG